UGAGCAAUCUGCCCUUCACAUCGGAAUAACCAUUGGAAACGAUGGCUAAUACCGAAUACGACCUCCUUUCGCAUGAUCGGAGGUGGAAAGCUCCGGCGGAGAAGGAUGAGCUCGCGGCCUAUCAGCUAGUUGGUGUGGGUAAUGGCCCACCAAGGCGACGACGGGUAGCCGGCCUGAGAGGACGAUCAGCCACACUGGGACUGAGUCACGGCCCAGACUNUACGGGAGG
rnacentral:rRNA from 1 species